UACGUAGGGGGCAAGCGUUGUCCGGAAUCAUUGGGCGUAAAGCGCGUGUAGGCGGUCCGGUAAGUCCGCUGUGAAAGUCGGGGGCUUAACCCUCGGAUGCCGGUGGAUACUGUCGGGCUUGAGUACGGAAGAGGCGAGUGGAAUUCCUGGUGUAGCGGUGAAAUGCGCAGAUAUCAGGAGGAACACCAGUUGCGAAGGCAGCUCGCUGGGACGUUACUGACGCUGAGACGCGAAAGCGUGGGGAGCAAACAGG
rnacentral:rRNA from 1 species